CGCUCAUUAAAACGGCAUGCUGUUUCACACCGCCUCGUGUUGUCUAUUGGCAGGCUUUCAGGGUUCAAACCGAUAAAAGAACCUUACAUCUGGAGCCAAAACCCGGGAAGAGCUCAGGUCUGCGUCCCCCACGGACCUACCCCUCCACCCUGGAGAGCAGGCCACAGCAGCCGGACAAAGGAAGCUCCUCAGCCUCCAGUCGCCUCUCUGUGCAUGCACAUCGGUCACUGGUCUCGACUAAUGCAGGAACCACUAUCUUAAACCUUCGGUUCAUCUCCCAAUCCACCCCGAUAUUCGGCGCAAGCUUCAGAAGCUUGAUGACGGCCCUCAGACCCCACAAAGAGAUCUUAAUUUAGCCAUCAAAGUCUUUAACAAUCGUGAUGAGAAAAGUAAAAGGCAAAAACCGGCAGAGUUUCAAAUGCUUGCCUCCGCCAUCAGGAGCCCUGCAGGCCCACGGGGCCGCAGCUCCGCACGGAAGCCUCCUAACACUCCACCUCCACCUGGUGCCUGUUUCAAGUGCGGCAAUGAAGGCCACUGGUCCAGACAAUGCCCAAACCCAGGUAAGCCCACCAGGCCGUGCCCCCUCUGCGGAGGACCCCACUGGAAGUCGGACUGUGAGCAGCCCCUGCGAGGACCGCCCCCAUCCCUUCCUGAGCUGGCCUACUUGGAUCUCAUUGGCCUUGCUGCUGAAGACUGACGGUGCCCUGGAACGGAUGCCCCAGCAACUACCAUCGCUUCAUCCAAACCAAGGGUAACCCUGAUGGUGGCAGGCCCAGUCCCAAGGUGCAAGGCUACUUGUGCCAGCAGCGUGCGCCAGCAAGGUAGCAGAAGCAGGAAGAAAGCCGGCAGGAAGACACGUACCCCUGAAGAUCCAGAAAGAGGCCAUCUGUGUACAACGUAGCAGUAACGUCAGACUAGGACACUUCCUGUUUACAGGAGACUAUAAAACCUCACCUCAGGAUGACGCCAUUUUAGGCCUCAGCCUGCCUGCACCCAGGCGCUCAUUAAAACAGCAUGUUGCUCCA